GCUUGUCUCAAAGAUUAAGCCAUGCAUGUCUAAGUAUAAGCCUUUGUACGGCGAAACUGCGAAUGGCUCAUUAAAACAGUUAUAGUUUAUUCGAUAAUCAAUUGCUACAUGGAUAACUGUAGUAAUUCUAGAGCUAAUACAUGCAAAAAAACCCAGACUUACGAAUGGGUGCACUUAUUAGAUAAAGCCAACGCUGGGUAAAACCAGUUUCCCUUGGUGAUUCAUAAUAAUUAAGCGGAUCGCAUGGCCUUGUGCUAGCGACAGUCCACUCGAUUUUCUGCCCUAUCAUGGUUGAGAUUGUAAGAUAGAGGCUUACAAUGCCUACAACGGGUAACGGGGAAUUAGGGUUCGAUUCCGGAGAGGGAGCCUGAGAAACGGCUACCACAUCCAAGGAAGGCAGCAGG
rnacentral:rRNA from 1 species